rnacentral:lncRNA from 1 species
AAAGAUCAACCUUGAAGUCAUCAUAUUUUUAGUACAAAUGUAACGUAAAAUAAAAAUAUCCACAAAACCAACCGGCUAAAAGAUAUAAAAGAGCAUAGAAAGAAUCAAAAUGAGUUUCCAUGAAUGAAAACGACUUAGAUUCCUCCGAUUCAUUUGAAGAAAAAAAAAGAACAAAUCCAUUAAAAUCCAUGACAAACGAAA